GAAAAAGGCUGGGGGAGCUGGAAUUGGUGUCAGCACAGGCAGGGGGGAUCAGGGAAGCCUGUCCUUUGGCCUCUUCAGGCCAGGUCCCUGUGCUCUGUCUGUCCCUGGCUCUGGGGUCUGCCCUGCCCUCUGAUUUACAGCACUGAGCACCAACCAGAGCUGCUGCUUAAGGAAUUCCUCGAGUGUUUCUGUUCCAGUAGGGAUUUGUGGGCCUGACUUUGAGUUGUGGAGCCUUGUGCUAGAGAGAUGUUUACAACUACAUGGUGACUUGGAUUUCUCCCAUGGAUUCCUGGAAACACUGUUAUCUCAAGCUUCAGGAGGAACUUCUGCGCAGAGACCACCCAGGACUCAGAGCUACCUGCCACCAGAGCACCUCUGCUGCCCCUGUUCCUGCCAGGAGACCGAAAUUGGGCACGGGUUGGGCUGAGCCCGCAGCACCUGGGAGGGCUGGAUCAGCUGUGGAGCAGCAGGGAUGGAGACAUCCUCACCAGCAAAGUUUCUGGCUACACACGUGGGAUCUUCAGCCUGGUGGACAGCAGAGUUCUGGUUUCUGCUGGGGGAACAUCCCUCCUGAGGGCCUGCAGGAUUCUCCCUGGGAUCUUUCCAAUAACAGGAUCAGUGGUUUAGAUGUUGAGCUCUUCAGAAGCCUGACUUCUCUGGCAAAGCUAGAUAUAAGCCACAACCAGAUUUCUACAUUAGAAGAUGGAAUAUUUGAUAAUUUAUUUAAUUUAAGUGAAAUAAACUUAAGUUGGAAUCCAUUUGUUUGUGACUGCAAACUGUCCUGGCUGCCCCGCUGGGUGGAGGACAGGAACGUGAGAGUCCUUGAGGCGUCGGACACGAGGUGUGCCCACCCCCCCGAGGUGGCCAACCUGUCCCUCUUCGAUGUCCUGUUCCUCAACACCACCUGUGGAGCUCAAUACAUCACGUGUCUGACAGGAAACUACACCGAAGAAGCUGAGCUUAUCAUCCUCUUCACCUCUGUCCACCCUGGGAACCUCACUGAGGAGACCUGCAGUGCCCUCUGUUACUCCCAAGACCAGGAGUAUGGGGGUUUCAGCCCCCAGGGGCAGUGUUUGUGUGGAACUGCCCACGAAACAAACUCUUCCUCCGGCUGUUUGCCAUUUUGCACUGAGCAUUUGUCUGGGCAGGGCUGUGGUGGCCCCUCACUCGUCCCCUUGCCCUUCCAGGCACAGCUGCCUGUGUCUUUCACAGGACUGCAGCCCCGCUACAGCCUGCACCAGCCCGUGCUCUUCAAUGUCAGUAUUCCCAUUGCUGCCAGCACUUUACUGUGGGAAUUUGGGGACCAGAGCGAGGUUCUCAACACCACUGGACACACGGCCGUGCACAGCUACGCCCUACCCGGGCACUACAACGUCACUGCCACCCUCCUCGUGGGCUCCAGGCUCCUGCAGCAGCAGGCAGAGAUUGAGGUGGUGGCUUCACCCCAGCAGCUGGAGCUGCAGUGUCCCUCCCUGGUGGUGGCAAACGAGAGCCUGGACAUCCGGAUCCGCAACAGGGGCGGCACGGGGCUGGCGCUGCUCUACGGGAUCACCGCCGAGCCCGGCGAGCUGGGCAGGGCAGUUCACCCCAUGUGCCCCCCUGAGGGCUUGGUUUUCCCGGGAAAUAACCACUGCUACCAGCUGGUGGUGGAGAAGGCGGAGUGGCUGGAGGCGCAGCGGCACUGCCAGGAGCUCGGCAACGGGGACCUGGCUUUUGUCAGCAGCCCCGACAUCCAGAGCUUCCUCGUUGCUCAUGUCAUCAGGAGCCUCGAUGUCUGGAUUGGAUUCAAUGAUUUUGCAAGCUCUGGAGCUCAGCAGAGAGGGGAAGGAUUUAAUCUGGAGAGCUGUCAGAACUGGCUGCCAGGAGAGCCCCAUCCCUCCAACGCCGACCACUGCGUGCGCAUGGGCCCCACGGGCCAGUGCAACACCGACCUGUGCAUGGCCAAGCACAGCUAUGUCUGCGAGUACAAGCCACCAGGAAUUCUCCUGAACGCCGAGAACUUCUUUGAGGGAGAGGCUGAGCUGGCCCCGCGCGGGGCCGUGAGGAGCCUGAGCGAGGCCGUGCCGGCGGAGCCCUGGCAGGCUGAGGAGGUGCUGCAGUUCCCAGAGCUGGCCUUCAGGCACCAGGGCUUCCUCGCUGCCCUGGACUUCGUGGCACAGGAGCUGCAGCAGCCCGUCCAAGUGAGCUUCCAGCUGCACAGAUUGGUGCAUGGAGAAGACUACCAGGAGGAAAACAAUGCUACAGAACCACUCCCCAGUGCUCAGGACGAUGGGAACUGGACGCUGCUGGAGUGUCCUCCUGGUUUCCAGUGGUGUCCUUUGAGGAAUCUGUGCUCAUCCCACAAGAGCUGCUGCAAUGGGACCGAGUGUGCCAACAGCUCCUCUGGCAGCAGCCCUGCCCCGGGGGCCCUGCAGCCCAACGCCAGCCAGCCCAGCUAUGAACUCCUCAAGGAGUUCCUCUUCUUGGUACCAGCUGGCCCCUCUUCCCAGUACCAGGUCACAUUCAGCAAAGAAAACGUCUUUGUCAGGGCUGGGGACGUUUUCAGCAUCCAGCACAACGCAAGCUCGGGCUCGUUCCUGCAGUGCCACCGCAGUGCCACCUCCCUGGCCAGGAGGAACUCCUCUGAGCGGGCACUGGGCCCGUCCCCCAGCCCAGUGGAUGUCCCCUGGAGCAGCAGCACGGCGUGCUCUGUGCGGGUGCGCUACGCCGAGGAGCAUCUGGUGCCGGUGCUCGGCGCGCAGAACGCGGGGCUGGAGCAGCCCGGGCUCUACCAGCUGCAGGCCAGCGCGGACAACGGGCUCUUCCGUGCCAACCUGUCCUGCCGCUUCCGCGUGGCCUCCCGCGUGUCCGGCCUGCGGGUCAUCCACCCGGCGCCGCAGGGCUCCAGGCUCUACCUGCCCACCAACCGCACCUGGCUGCUGCUCAAGCUGUCCUCGGGGGUCAACGCCACGGCCGGCUGCCUGGGGGACAACCGCACCGUGCCCUUCGUGGCCGGCUGCCCGGCGGCCGUGGCCUCGCUGUGCGCCAGGGAGAACAACGACACCUGGUUUGCUGUGCUGCAGCUGGGCGGCCUCGGCGAGGGCGUCAGCACCCACGUGCUGGUGGCAGAGAACCCGGUGAGCUCCCAGAACAUCACGGUCACCGUGAAGGUGGAGGAGCCCAUCCGCGGGCUGAGGGCCACGCCCGACCCCGAGAGCAGAGUGCUGCUGAACACGCGGGUGAGCUACAUCCCUGUGAUGGAGGCUGGGUCAGAUGUGACUUUCCGAUGGACAGUAGAUGAUAAGCCAUCUUUCACUUUUUACAAUGUUGUCUUCAACGUUAUCUACCAAAGCCCAGCUGUGUACAAGCUUUCGCUCACCGCCUCCAACCACGUCAGCAACUUCACAGUCAACUACAACGUGACGGUGGAGAUGAUGAACAGGAUGAGGAACCUGAGCGUGGUGGGUGCCCUGCCAGUGGUGCCCCAGAACAGCAGCGUGGAGCUCAGCGCCCGGGUUCACGUGGACUCGGCUGUGGAGGCUCUGUUCCUGUGGGAUUUUGGAGAUGGUGUCCAGGAGACGUACCUGUUCAAACCUCCCUACAACAAGUCUUUCCUUGUUCCUGAUCCCAAUGUCCAUGAGGUUGUCAUUGAGCACAACGUUUCACACAUCUACCAAGACCCAGGAGAAUAUGCCCUGAUGGUUGUUGUGUCCAACCAGUAUGAGAACCUCACCCACGUGAGCCCAGUCCAGGUUCACAGUUACCUGACUGCCGUGAAGGUGGAGGCAGAGGAGGAUGUUCUGGUGGUGGGCCGGCCGCUCACCUUCCGAGCCACUGCCCUGCCGUCCCCGUACGGCGUGCUGUACACCUGGGACUUUGGGGACAGCUCCUCCCUGCUCACAGAGCCCCAGCCCACCGCGACCUACAGCUACCGCCGCCGAGGGGUGUACAACGUCACCGUGACAGCCAACAACACCGUGAGCAGCGUGGAGACCGUGGAGUGCUACCAGGUGUUCGAGGAGAUAACGGGGCUCCGCGUGUCCGCCGACGAGGCCGCAGAGCAGGGAGCGGCUGUCACCAUCAACGCCUCCGUGCACACUGGGGACAGCAUCACCUGGAUAUUCGACAUGGGGGACGGGACAGUGCUCAGGAGUCAGGUGCCAGUGGUAGAGCACGUGUACAUAAAGGACAUCAACUGCACCGUGAACGUGACAGCUGUGAAUCCUGUGAACUCUGUCUCCCAGGCGGUUCCUGUCCGGAUAUUUGUCCUGGAAAUACUCAAAAUAGAGCCUACUUCUUGCAUCCUGGAGCACCCGGACGUGCAGCUCACCGCCUACGUGACGGGGAAUCCUGAGGAGUACGUCUUUGACUGGACUUUUGGAGAUGGCUCCUCCAAUGUCACAGUCAGCGGGGACCCUGUGGUGGUGCACAACUUCACCCGGAGCGGGACAUUCCCGCUCACCCUGACCCUCUCCAGCAGCUUUAACAAGGCUAACUACUUCACCAGUGUCUGUGUGGAGCCGGAGAUCCUCAACGUCACCCUCCUCCCUUCCAAACGCUUUGUGAGGCUCGGGGAAGAGACCUCCUUCCAGGUGAGUGCCGUGCCUCCCUACCAGUACCGCUACCGCUGGGAUUUUGGCAACAACGAGUCCACCAGGUCGAGUGGGACUGAAGUGACCUACACCUACAAGAACACUGGGGUCUUCCUGGUCACAGUGACCGUCUCCAACAACGUCUCUUUCAACAACGACACGGCGUUUGUGGAGGUCCAGGAGCCAGUUGGGGUAGCAAAGAUUGAGUAUAACGGGACGGAUGUUCUGGAGCUGAACCAGAUCUACCUGUUCUCUGCCAGCAUGAAUGGAACCAAAGUGGGUUACUGCUGGGACUUUGGGGAUGGCACUGUCCAGCCUGGGCAAGUGGCCACCCACUCCUACAACAGCACGGGCCACUACAGCAUUACAGUGAUGGGGCAGAACGACGUGAGCUCCAACGAGACCACCAUUGAUGUCACCGUGAAACGACGGCUCCUUGGCCUGACCGUCAAUGCCAGCAGGACAGUGGUGCCACUGAAUGGGUCGGUGAGCUUUGUAGCCACCCUGGUGGCUGGCACUGCCAUCCGCUACUCGUGGAUCCUCUGCGAUCGCUGCACUCCCAUCCAAGGCUCCUCCACCAUUUCCUACACCUUCCGCUCCGUGGGCACGUUCAACGUCAUCGUGACGGCCGAGAACAAGAUCAGCUCGCUGCAGGACAGCAUCUACGUCUACGUCCUGGAGCAGAUUGAGGGCCUGCAGGUGGCCAGCACUGACCUGGUGGAGGACAUGUAUUUCCCAACUAACAAAACACUCCAUUUGCAGGCCGUGGUGAGAGAGGGCACAAACAUCUCCUACAGCUGGGUGGUCCAAAGGGAUGGCAGUGCUGUGCAGACCUUCACUGGGAAAACCUUCCCCUUGAGCAUCCUGGAAGCUGGGAACUACACUGUCUACCUGAAGGCCACCAACAUGCUGGGCUAUGCCACUGCUAACAGGACACUGGAGUUCAUUGAAAGCCUUGGUGUCCUAAAGCCCUAUGCCUUCCCCAACCCAGCUGCUGUUAACGCCUCUGUGAACAUAAGUGCCACCAUAACCAGUGGCACUGGUGUCACGUACGUGUGGUACCUGGAGGAUGGCUCCUCUCCUGUCACCUCUGAACCCUUUAUUAUACACUCCUUCCAAAGCCCUGGAAUGAUUGAGGUCAUUGUUGGAGCAGAAAACAAGCUGAAUUCAACCAAUGCCACUGUUUCUGUGUGUGUGGAGGAGGCCAUCGAGGGGCUGAGUAUAGGGACAGCAGAGCUGGACUGUAGGUACGUCUCCUCAGGCUCCACGGUGGUCUUUGAGGGGGAGCUGCAGAGGGGGACUGAAGUGACCUGGCUGUGGGAGGUGCCAAAUGGCACUCUCAGUGGCCAGUCCGUGGCAGUCACCUUCCCCACGGCAGGGUGGUACACGGUGCAUCUGAACGCCUCCAACGACAUCAGCUGGGCUCUGGCCAGCAGGAACAUCUCGGUGCUGGACAGGAUUCAAGGUCUGGAAGUUGUCGCCAGCAAGAAGGUGGUGGAGCCAGGAGAACAGGUCACCUUUGAGAUCAGGAUGCUGUCAGGUACCUCUGUGAGCUACCUGGUGAGCAUUAGUGGGGACUACUCCGUGGUGCUCAACGGCUCCAGGUACAGCCAUGAGUUCACCAAGAGCGGCGAUUACGUGGUGACCGUGACCGUGCAGAACCAGAUCAGCAUCGCCCACGCCCAGGUGCUCAUCUCUGUCCUGGAGCCCAUCCAGGACGUCAGGCUCCUGAACUGCUGCGAGGAGGGCAUUCCCACGGGCACGGAGAAGAGCUUCAGUGCCCGCGUGGGCAGCGGCUCCCGCGUGUCCUUCUCCUGGCAGUUCUGCCUGUGGAAGGAGCGAGGCCGGUCCGUGGUUGCUGCGUCAGGAGACAGAGUUUCCUAUGCUCCAGAAGCUGCAGGGCUGCUGGAGAUCCACCUCACUGCCUUCAAUGACUUGGGAAGUGUCAACAUCACCAGAACCAUCCAGGUGCAGGACCCCAUAGUCCAGGUGUCCCUCAGUGCCACCAAUGCCUUUGUCAACAGGACGGCGCUGUUCGAAGCCGUGGUGGUGCCCAGCAGCAGGAGCGUUGAGUUCUUGUGGAGCUUUGGGGAUGGCUCUUCCACUCAAACCACCAGGACUGCAGUGGCCAACUAUUCUUACCUGAGCCCCGGGGAUUACCUGGUGGAGGUGAACGCCACCAAUCUCAUCAGCUUCUUCAUAGCCCAGCUCACUGUCACCGUCAAAGUCCUGGAGUGCGAGGAGCCCGAGGUGGAGCUGGCCCUGCCACCGCAGGUGGUUAUGAAGAGAUCCCAGAGGAACUACCUGGAGGCACAGAUUGACCUCCGAGGCUGCAUCAAGUACCAGACAGAGCACCUGUGGGAGAUCUACCGAGCCCCCAGCUGCAUGAACUUGGACGACUCCAGCAGGAUCCGGCUGCCGAACGUCGACGUGAACAGGCCCCAGCUGGUUAUCCCAAAGCUCGGCCUGGAAGUUGGGAACUACUGUUUCAUGUUUAUUGUCUCCUUUGGAGACACCCCGCUGUCCAAAAGCAUCUUUGCCAAUGUGACAGUGAUCCCGAGCAAGCUGGUCCCAAUCAUUGAUGGGGGGUCAUACCGUGUAUGGUCCAACACCCAGGACUUAAUCCUGGAUGGGGAGAAAUCCUACGACCCGAACUUGGACGAUGGGGAACAGACCCCGUUGUUGUACGAGUGGUCCUGCACAUCCUCCUCCAAGAGCUCGGCUGCAGGGUGCUCUCUGAAUUUCAGUGCCAAGGAAGGAAUUGUCACAAUUUCCAAAGCUCUAUUAGAGGCAGAUGUGGAGUACACGUUCGACCUCACCGUCAGGAAGGAAGGGAUGAGUCCCGAGGCCACCAACCAAACCGUGUUCAUCAAGAGGGGAGGAGUCCCCAUUGUGUCCCUGGAGUGCAUUUCCUGCAAGGCUCAGUCUGUCUACGAGGUCAGCAAGAGCUCCUACGUGUACCUGGAGGGCACCUGCCAGAACUGUCACAACGACUCCAAGCUUGGGAGGUGGGCAGCUCACAGCUUUAACAACAAGUCCCUGGUCCUGGACAGAAGCACCACGUCCACCGGCGACACGGGGAUGAACCUGGUGCUGAGGCCAGGAGCCCUGAGGGAUGGCGAGGGCUACACCUUCACCCUGCACAUCACAGACCUGACCACGGGCGAGGAGGGCUUUGCCUCCAUCGACCUGCUGCCCAACCAGCCCCCCGUGGGGGGGUCCUGCCGCCUGUCCCCCGAGGGACCCCUCAGGGCGCUGGAGACCAAGGUGCACUUCGAGUGUGCAGGCUGGCGGGACACGGAGGACGCGGAGGGGCCGCUGGUGUUCAUCCUGCUGGCCUCGCGCCGCCGGCCCGGCCACUUCCACGAGUUCUGCGUGUACAAGGGCAGCCGCGCCGAGCACGGCGCCUUCCUGCCCCCCGGCUUCCGCGAGAGCGGCUUCCAGGUGUCCGUGGCCGUGCUGGUGCAGGACCAGCUGGGAGCCACCGUGGUGGCCGUCAACCGCUCCAUGGAAAUCGGCCUCCCCGAGGGCUUCCCCAGCCUCUCCCACUGGCUCUACAAUCAGACUGACACCGUGCUCCAGGGCUUGGUGAAACAAGGGGACCCUCAGCAGGUCAUUGAGUACUCCCUGGCCCUCAUCACCAUCCUAAAUGAGUACGAGCGCUCCGUGCUGCUGGAGCCCGAGGCUGGCCAGGAGCUGGAGCUCCGCACCCGGACCCGCAACAACAUCACGGAGACGCUGAACUCGCUGAAGGUGAACACGGUGGAUGACAUCCAGCAGAUCUCAGCUGCCCUGGCCCAGUGCACGGUGGUGAGCAAGGAGCUGGUGUGCAAGUCGUGCCUGACAAGGACCCUGAACAAGCUGGAGACCAUGAUGACCAUUCUGCAAGGGGAGACCACCCAGGGCACGGUGACACCGACCGGCAUCGCCGACAACAUCCUCAACAUCACAGGUGACCUGAUCCACCUUGUCAAUACAGUUUCACAAGAAUCCAAGCCCCAGGAGCUGCUGGCUGAUUCCCACAAUUUGCUGCUGGCUCCCAAAGCCUACAACCUGUCUUCCAGCCUGAUGCGAAUCCUCAUGAAAUCCCGGGUGCUGAACGAAGAGCCCCUCGAGCUGGUGGGAGGAGAAAUUAAGGCCACAGGCAAGAGGUCUGACCCCUUUAACCUGCUCUGCUACGAAAACACACCAAACUGCCAGUUCUCCAUCCCCCAGGCCUUCAACUCCACCCUUUCCAACCUGACGGAUGUCAUCCAAGUCAUGUUCCAGGUGGACUCCAAUCCCUUCCCUUUUGGCUACAUCAGCAACUACACCGUGUCCACCAAGGUGGCCUCCAUGGAGUUCCAGACACACAACGGGGUGCAGAUCCCCAUAGGGAGCCUGGACUCUGAAAAAGCCAUCACUGUGAUGGUCUCAAACAGCACAGAGCCCGAAAAUCUCGUGGCUGGCACUGAAGUCAUCGAGGCAAGAACGUCUGUGAACCUGAUUGUGAUCAUGGAGAGCAACAACAGGGAAGCAGGACUGCACUUUCAGCUCACCUACAGAGUCCUCAAUGAGCAUUACCUGGCCAGUGAGCCCGAGCCCUUCAUCAUGGCCUAUCUCCAUCAUGAGCCCGAGCCCAACGAGCACAACUGCUCUGCCUCCAAGAGAAUCAGCCUGGACGCCCUGGCUGGAAGUGACCACAAGCUCUACACCUUCUUCACCUCACCCAGAACGGAUGACCCCAUCCAGAAGUACUACCUGAACAUCACCAACCACUUCAGCUGGUCGGCAGUGGAGGUGACCCUGGGGCUGUACACGUCCCUGUGCCAGUACUUCAGCGAGCAGGAGAAGCGCUGGAAGACAGAAGGAAUUGUCCCCCUGGAGGAGACCAGGCCAGACCAGGCCGUGUGCUUGACCCAGCACCUCACAGCCUUUGGGGCCAGCCUGUUUGUGCCCCCAAACUCUGUCCAGUUCAUCUUUCCUGCUCCAGGCCCAGGGCUGAACUACAUCGUGCUGCUGACGUGUGCUGUGUGCUUUGUCACCUACUCGGUGGCCGCGCUGAUCGUGCACAAGCUGGACAUGAUCGACAUGAGCCGCGUGGGGGUGAUCCCCUUCUGCGGCAAGAACGGGAUGUACAAAUACGAGAUCCUGGUGAAAACGGGCUGGGGCAGAGGGUCAGGCACCACGGCCCACGUGGGCAUCGCCCUGUACGGGGUGGACAACAAGAGUGGCCACAGACACCUGGACGGGGACAACGCCUUCCACCGCAACAGCCUGGACGUGUUCCAGAUCGCCACGGAGCGCAGCCUGGGCAGCGUCUGGCGCAUCCGCAUCUGGCACGACAACAAAGGCCUCAGCCCCUCGUGGUACCUGCAGCACGUCAUCGUGCGGGACCUGCAGAGCAGCAAGAGCUACUUCUUCCUGGUGAACGACUGGCUCUCGGUGGAGAGCGAGGACAACGAUGGCCUGGUGGAGAGGGAGGUGUUUGCUGCCAGUGAGAGCGAGCUGAGGAGCUUCUGGCGGAUCUUCGUGGCGGAGCUGCAGCGUGGCUUCUUCGAGAAGCACGUGUGGCUGUCCCUGUGGGACCGCCCGCCCCGCUCCCGCUUCACCCGCGUCCAGAGGGCCACCUGCUGCUGCCUCCUCAUCUUCCUCUUCCUCUGCGCCAAUGCCGUGUGGUACGGCGUGGUGGGCAGCGUCCACCUCAGCAACGUGGCCGUUUCCAGCCUGCUCCCUGUCAGCGUGGACACGGUGGCUGUUGGCCUGGUGUCCAGCCUGGUGGUUUACCCUCUCUACCUGGUCAUUCUGUUUCUCUUCCGGAUGGCUCGUGGCAAGGUCUCCAUCAGCCACACAGUGACUCACUCAGACCAGCAGUCCCUGGAGAUCGACAACUACCUGGACUCCUCCAUCCUUGACAGCUCCUUCCCCACCUUCCCCGGGCUCCAGGCAGAGGCCUUCUCUGAGCAAACCAAAACAGAUCUGUUCCUGGAGGACUCCAAGAGCCUGGUGCCCUGGCCCUCCAGCGAGGCCCUGCUCAGCUGGCCAGACCUGCUGAGUGACCCCUCCAUCAUGGGCAACACCAUCCAGAAGCUGAAGAGAGGCCGGGCCAGCCGCCACCUGGGGCUGGAGGCCCCGCUGGCCACCGAGGAGGACACCUUGUCCCUUGGCAUCCACCAGGGACAGCCCCGCUACUUCUCAGCCUCAGAUGAGGAUCUGAUCCGGCAGAUCCUGGCAGAUGGAGCCGGCGGCAUCUCCCAGGACCUGGGGCCGUACAUGAGGGCAGAAACAGAUCUGAUCUCAGGCCUGUCCAGCGUGUUCGGGGAGAAGGUGGAGACUGUCAUGAUGCACAGGCUGAACGACAAAGGGCAGAGCGUGGCACCUCCUCCCAGGGAAGUGAGCAGAUCAGCCAAGUCCACCUGGACAGUUGCAGACCAGGCGUUCAGGAAGCGCCUGCUGCCGCCCUGGUGCUCCCUGCUGGCUCAUGGCAUCAGCCUCCUGCUCCUGGCCGCCGCCGCCGGCGUCUCCGUGUGGAUCGGGGUGGGCUUCUCCUCCAGCGUGGCCCUCAUGUGGCUCAUCUCAGGGAUAUUCAGCUUUCUGGCAUCGUUCCUGGUCUGGGAGCCCCUGAAGGUGCUGCUGGAAGCCCUCUAUUUCUCCCUGGUUGCCAAGAGGCUGCACCCAGAGGAAGAUGACACCUUGGUGGAGCAGCCCUGCGUGGAACACGUGUCCGAGAGGAUCAGCAAGGUCCGGCCUCCACAGGGAUUUGCCCUCUUCCAGGCCAAGGAGGAGGCCAGGAAGGUCAAACUGCUGCACAGGAUGCUCAAGAAUUUCCUCAUCUACAUGAUGUUCCUGCUGGUGGUCCUGCUCACCAACUACGGCGAUGCCUCCCGCACCAGCCGGGCCUUCCUCCUGCAGAGCUCCAUCAAACAGCAGCUGGGCAGCAACGACUUCCUGCUCAUCAAGAGGUCGGAUCAGUUCUGGGUGUGGAUGUCUCAGGUGUUCCUCCCUUACCUGUACAACAACGGCUCUGGCCAGGAGAGCCACAGCACCACGCUGGGGACAGCGCGGCUGCGCCAGCUCCGCCUGCAGGGAGCUGAGUGCCAGCAGAGUGCCCAGGACAUCCUGCAGGGCAUGGGCAGUGCCCAGAGGAGCUGCACUGACCAGCACAGCUUUGCCACUGCUGACUAUGGAGUGGGCUGGGAGAGCACAGCCAGGAACGGGACGGCGGCGUGGGCACACUCAGCACCCGACCUGGCAGGGAUCUGGUACUGGGGCUACAUCUCCUUCUACGACAGCAGUGGCUAUGUGCAGGAGCUGGGCCCUUCCCUGGAGGAGAGCCAGGCUCAGCUGGAGUUCCUGCAGCAGCACACCUGGAUCGACAACAUGAGCCGGGCAGUGUUUGUGGAGCUGCUGCAGUACAACCCCAGCGUGGACCUGCACGUGGCCCUCACCCUGCGCCUGGAGUUCCCUGGGGCUGGCCAGGCCAUCGCUGCUGUCACCAUCAGCCCCUUCCCCCUGCUGCGGCUCAGCGGGGGCGUCACCCUGCAGCUCCUGAUGAUGGUGUUCCUCAUGCUGUUUGUGGUUUACUUUGUGGUGUCAGAGUCUCUGGCCAUCAAGAAGGAAGGCAGAGCCUACUUCACCCUGUGGGGCAACUACAGCCAGUGGCUUUUCAUCCUGCUCACCACGUGCACCGUGCUGGUGCACCUCAGCCAGGCCACCCUGGCUGACCAGCAGUGGCUCAGGUACCUCAGCAAUCGCAGGGGCUUCACCAACUUCUACCAGGUGGCCUUCCUGAGCUCUGUCUUCAGCAGCCUGGCCGCGUCCCUCCUCUUCCUCCUGACCGUGCAGGCUGCCCAGCAGCUGCGCUUUGUCCGGCAGUGGUCAGUGUUUGGAAAGACCUUCCAGAAGUCCAUGAAGGAGCUGCUGGCUGCAGGGGUGGCCUUUGCCCUCCUCCUCCUGGCCUACGCCCAGCUCGGCUUCCUGCUCUUCUCCUCCUCCUCCGAGUCCUUCCGCAGCGUGGGCAGCAGCCUCCUGCUGCUGCUGGCCCUCCUGCGGGGCAGCGCCAGCCUCCGGCCCUGCCUGCCCGAGGCCUCGGGGCUCUACUGCCUCUUCUGCACCUCCUACGUGGUGCUGGAGGCGUGGAUCGUGCUGCGGCUGCUGGCGGUGGUGCUGGUGCACAGCUACCGCGAGAUGCACUUCGAGCUCUACCGGCCCGCCUUCGAGCCGCAGGACUACGAGAUGGUCGAGCUGUUCGUGCGCAGGCUCAAGAUGUGGAUGGGCUUCAGCAAAGCCAAGGAGUUCCGGCACAAGGUGAGGUUCGAGGGGAUGGAGCCGCUGCCCUCCCGAGACUCCAGCGACUCCAAGUCCUUCCGUGGCCCCACUCCCAGCGCCGCCUCCGACAGCUCCAGGACCUCCACGUCCUCCAGCCAGCUGGACGGGCUGAGCCUCGUGCUGAGCGCCCGCGACAGCCUGGAGGUGGACGCUGACAUCCAGCGCCUCCUCUCGCUCUUCGAGAUGCUGCUGGCGCAGUUCGACCGCGUCAACCAGGUGACGGAGGACGUGUCCCGCAUCGAGCACCUGCUCGAGUUCUCCCGCAGCCGCCGCGCCCGCCGGAGGCACCGCGGGCCCGAGGGGAGCCCGGGCAGCUCGGAGCAGGGCCCGUCCCUGGAGGUGCCGGACACGGAGCCGCUGUCCCCGCGCUGUGCCGGGGCCGUGCCCGUGCCCGGCCGGCUGCUGCGGGCCAGCCGCGGGGUCAGCGCGGCCGCGGGGACAGCGGGCAAGGCCUGUGCGGCCAGGAGGAAACGGCCCCUGCGGGCCAAGAACCGGGUGCACCCCACGGUCAAGUAACGGGGCUGCGGGAGCGAUGCCCUGGCAGGGCUUUGUUGGGUGGGCUGUGCCCGCCCGGAGCUGCCGCGGCGGCUGGGCCGGCCGGGCACAGGGGCGCUCCGGCCACGCCGCUGGCACGGCCACCGGCCCUCCAGAAGUGGCCCCAUGGGAGCGUUCCAGGGGUAAAGGUGGAAGGGGAGAAGGCCGAGCCUUUCCCCGGGGCAUGAGCAGGUGCAGGAGAUGCCUGCGGGCUCACAGGGAGCAGCUGGGGCUGUUCAAGGGCCCCGGCUGCAACCGGCCACAGGUGGGACUGGGGUGGGCACAGGGGGACGGGACAAAGCUCCCCCCUUCCCUGCUGGCUGUGCCGGGUGGGAAAGGGAAAGGAGAGCCCCAGGCCUUGAAGGUUUGAACCAAGUCUUGGAGUUUUGUUGACCAGACGCACUGUGGAGGAAAGCGACAGCUUUCGAGAAGGUAUUUAACCCACCUUGUUUUUUAAGCAUAAAUAGAUAUAUAGAGAAAUGCUAUCUACACCCAGAGCAGUUAAUUUCCAGUAUUGGCUACUUUUAUCCUCCAGAAAUUGGUACUAUUAUUUGUAUUUAAAGAAAUCCAAUAUUUAAAACAAAGGACAUUGCAGCGAGCUGGGGACGAGAGACCCCUGGGCUGCCUCAGCCACCUCCCAGCGUGGGGUUCCCAAACUCCCAGCGUGGGGUUCCCAAACUCCCAGUGUGGGGUUCCCAACGUGCUGGUGUCACUGCGGUCCCCACCUGCCCUGUCCCCCCGCCGUGGCCCCGGGGUGCAGGCGCCGCUGGCUGCUUGGCUUCUCUAACCCAAGGAAUGUAUUGCCCUAAGUAUAUGUAUUUUUUUUUUUUUUUUGUUUACUUGUUCCUAUGUACUGCCCAGCACUUUAAACAAGGCUUUCCUCGGCUACCAGUGACACGUGCGAGCUAAGAAUGGGAUAAUAUAUCACAAAAGCAGUAUUUUGUUUGUUUAAAUCAUAAACUGAAAUGGGCAGGGAGGAGGGGAGCGCAGCCCCAGCUCAGGCAGCAGUGCCAGCGCCUUCCCUGAGCACGAAGGAGGCAGGUGAAGCCCUGAGGGAGCUUUUUUUGGGGUCCCUCCAGCCCUGCCAGCUGGGAUUCACCAUGUGCUGGGCUGCAGCUGCUGGGCUACAGCUGGCCUGUGCCAUGGGGCCCCCCCAGAUCACAGCCUGGGGGUGCCUGAAGCCCCCCCAGGGGCUGCCUUCCUCUCCUCAGCCCCAUUUCACCUUAUGGCUAUUGUAAGUAAUUUAUACGGGGUUUGUUUGGUUUUUAAAUGUAUAUAUUUUUGUAUGUUUGCUAUAUUUUCAUAGCAUCGGUACCGUGUUUGAAACAUGUAGAUAGGAGACAGAACACUAUUGUCAGAGUUAUUUAAAGGAUGUAUUAAGUGCUUCUUCCUGGGAAUGUCCCGUGUAUAUAAGGAUUGGGUGUCUGUGUGUGUGUGGUGCGUGUGCUCUCCUGGGCUGGCUCGGGGCCACAGGUGGAUGGGGAAGAGCCCUCCGUGAGUUCCAGAACCUGCUCCAUGCUUUGGACAGGUGAGAGGGUGGAAGGGAAGGCUGAGGGGGCAGAGCUGCAGGGCAGGGAGGCUUUUCCAGGUGGAGAGAGGGGGCUCCUAAAGCACUUCCAUUGCUCCAUCCCCUCCUGAGCCUCCCCUCCAUCCCCCGGCUGUGUUGGAUACUUGUGAAGAUUUCACUCCAGCAUCCGUGUGCUCCUUUGGCCAUGUGAGUCAGGCUGGCUGCAGGGGGACACUGGCUGCUCUGGGGUGCCUUUGGGACAGGUCUAAGGUACCUUGGGAAAACUCAGGUGCUGUGCAGGACAGAUGUUGUGGAAAGGUUGCAGAGGGCUGAGGGCAGGAGAAGACAAGGGAGGUGGUGCUUGGUCAGCAUGGAGGAGUUGGAAGAGCAGAGGGCGCAGAGGAGUGGAGUGCACAGGGGAGAAAUGCAAUCCUGGUAACCAGGACAGGGGGGGAGAGGGCAGAGAGGGGCCCAGAGGGCAGGAGUGGGACAGGGAGGUGCCUGCAGCAGGCAGAGCCCACAGCUGGAGGCUGAGCUGGAGCUGGGACCAGGUGCUGGUCAGCUCUGUGCUCAGAAAAAAACCCUGGAUUCCAAGCCAGAGAUAGAAAGCUGUUUGCCUUGGAUUUUUGUUUAACUUCCCAGGCAGCACAGCACCAGGCUCAGCUCUGGCACGUUUCCAUGACUCCUUUUUGGUGACAGUGCCAUGUUCCCAAGGCCAGGCAGUAAGAGGAGCAGUGGUGAGGUGUCCCAGAGAGCUGGGAUGUCCCCAGGGCCCAGGGCUGGAGUCCCUCCAGCUCCAAAGCUCCUUUCCCCACACACCUGCCCUGGCACAACCCAUCUCACCUGUGUGGAGCACCAAGGGUGUAGAUCCAGCCACUCCAAGGGCUGUCUGGGAAUAUUCAAUGAUUGAAAGGUCCCAAAUAAACCAAGCAGGUCUUGGAAGUCUCUUGAAGAGCCAAAAAGUUCAGUUCCUGAUGGUCAGUUCUCAGCUCGAGUAUCCUUAGAGGAGGUUGGGAGUAGGAGGGAAGCAGGGGCCAGCAGGGCCCCAGAUGUUUUUGAGCAGCCAUUCCUAAGCUAAGGGGCAGCUGGAACAAAGAUGCUCCCCAAAUCCAUCUGGAUUUUUGUUCCCAAGUGCCUGUUCCUUGCCCUGCGUGCGUGUGUGUGUGAGUGUGACUCGGCGUGUGUGACUUUUCCAAGUGCUCCUGCUGAUGCCAGAGGAGCAGAAACGGGAUCAGACAACUGCCCUACUUCCCUGAAGUACGGAGAGCAGCUCUGCCCCCCACAGUCCCUUGAAAAGCCCAGCCCUGCGUGGUGGGCAGCACCCACAGCUUCCAGCACUCCCAGUUCUCCGUGCAGCAGCUCCUGUGCCAGCUCCAGCAGUGUCCCAGGGUCCCCUCCUUGCCCCAGCUAGAGGGAUUCAGUCAUGGACUUACACCCUCACAGCAAUAAACUUGACUCAAAGCCCAUAAAUCCCCCUGAAUGUAUAUUUUUGUGUCUGUAGUCACCGAGAGAUGGUGUCUUAUUUAUUGCCUUGAAUCUCACAGUGAUGUAUCAGGAUCAAGCUGCUUAAGUGAAAAAUGAGACCCCCAUGCAUUCGUUCCAAGGGAGAGGGAGGGACUUCUGUAAGUGCCUUAUUUUUUCUAAUUUUUGGGGUUUUUUUUUAAAGAACAAUGAUUGUGACCAAAAUGCCAACAGUUCCUGUCUGGUCAGCAUUUCACUGCAAACAAAAAUGGUAUUUUGUAACUGUGGGGAUGUUUCUUACAAAGUGACAAAGUCAAAUAAACACUUGACUGCUAAAA